rnacentral:rRNA from 1 species
UGAGGAAUAUUGGUCAAUGGACGAAAGUCUGAACCAGCCAUGCCGCGUGCAGGACGAAGGCCCUAUGGGUUGUAAACUGCUUUUCUAUGGGGAUAAACCUCCUUACGUGUAGGGAGCUGAAGGUACCAUAGGAAUAAGCACCGGCUAACUCCGUGCCAGCAGCCGCGGUAAUACGGAGGGUGCAAGCGUUAUCCGGAUUUAUUGGGUUUAAAGGGUCCGUAGGCGGACAAUUAAGUCAGUGGUGAAAUCCUGCGGCUCAACCGUAGAACUGCCAUUGAUACUGGUUGUCUAGAGUAUAGUUGAGGUGGGCGGAAUGUGACAUGUAGCGGUGAAAUGCAUAGAUAUGUCACAGAACACCUAUUGCGAAGGCAGCUCACUAAGCUAUUACUGACGCUGAGGG